AUUUAUGUAGUUUAACAAAAACAUUACAUUUUCACUGUAAAAAUAAAGAAAACUUUCUUAAAUA
rnacentral:tRNA from 1 species